UUUGACAUGCCAUGAAUUCUUUUUAAAAAGAGGGGUGUCUUUAGGAACACGGACACAGGUGGUGCAUAGCUGUUGUCAGCUCGUGCAGUAAGAUGUUGGAUUAAGUGCUGCAAUAAGCGCAACCCUCCAUCUUAGCAAAUUAUUUUUUUCCCACAA
rnacentral:ncRNA from 1 species